rnacentral:rRNA from 1 species
GUCGAACGCGAACGCACCUUCGGGUGUUAUUAGAGUGGCGGACGGGUGAGUAACACGUGGGAACAUGCCUUUCGGUACGGAACAACGCUUGGAAACGAGUGCUAAUACCGUAUACGCCCUUAGGGGGAAAGAUUUAUCGCCGAAAGAUUGGCCCGCGCUAGAUUAGCUAGUUGGUAAGGUAAUGGCUUACCAAGGCGACGAUCUAUAGCUGGUUUGAGAGGAUGAUCAGCCACACUGGGACUGAGACACGGCCCAGACUCCUACGGGAGGCAGCAGUGGGGAAUAUUGGACAAUGGGGGCAACCCUGAUCCAGCGAUGCCGCGUGAGUGAUGAAGGCCUUAGGGUUGUAAAACUCUUUCAGUUGUGAGGAAAGGUUGAUGGUUAAUACCCAUCAGCUGUGACGUUAGCAACAGAAGAAGCACCGGCUAACUCCGUGCCAGCAGCCGCGGUAAUACGGAGGGUGCGAGCGUUAAUCGGAAUUACUGGGCGUAAAGCGCACGCAGGCGGUUAUAUAAGCUAGAUGUGAAAGCCCCGGGCUCAACCUGGGAAUAGCAUUUAGAACUGUAUGACUAGAGUCUUGGAGAGGGGAGUGGAAUUCCAGGUGUAGCGGUGAAAUGCGUAGAU